AGUGAACGCUGGCGGUAGGCCUAACACAUGCAAGUCGAACGGCAGCACAGUAAGAGCUUGCUCUUACGGGUGGCGAGUGGCGGACGGGUGAGGAAUACAUCGGAAUCUACUUUUUCGUGGGGGAUAACGUAGGGAAACUUACGCUAAUACCGCAUACGACCUACGGGUGAAAGCAGGGGAUCUUCGGACCUUGCGCGAUUGAAUGAGCCGAUGUCGGAUUAGCUAGUUGGCGGGGUAAAGGCCCACCAAGGCCACGAUCCGUAGCUGGUCUGAGAGGAUGAUCAGCCACACUGGAACUGAGGCACGGUCCAGACUCCUACGGGAGGCAGCAGUGGGGAAUAUUGGACAAUGGGCGCAAGCCUGAUCCAGCCAUACCGCGUGGGUGAAGAAGGCCUUCGGGUUGUAAAGCCCUUUUGUUGGGAAAGAAAAGCAGCAGGUUAAUACCCCGCUGUUCUGACGGUACCCAAAGAAUAAGCACCGGCUAACUUCGUG
rnacentral:rRNA from 1 species